GGGCGCUUAGCGCAGGGGUAGCGCGUUCGCUUCGCAUGUUCUGAACAUGUUUGCGAAAGGUCGUUGGUUCAAAUCCUACAGUGUCCA